rnacentral:misc_RNA from 1 species
AGUGAAGGGUGCCAACAUAUCAUGCCCCUUGUAUCCUCUAACAUCAGUUGCUGAGAUGUCAUUCUUCAAAGAUGUCUCAGUGCUACUCCAUCUGACCUGUAUUUGAUCGCUAACGAUUUGUUUUUGCAAAUUGCCAACAGCAGGGAUAUGCUUUACGUGAGGACCAACCUGGUUGGUAGCUGCAACAAUUCCAGAUCCAAUUAAACUAGUAAUCUUGGCCAUUAAUUAACCUUCAAGAAAAUUCUUG